CCGUCAUUGACUAGAACUCUGUUGAAGCGGAUGACACCAAAGUCUCCAGAGAGGGGCUGCUGUGUGAGGCCAGCAGAGAAGGAGAAGGGAUCUGCAAAGGCGCUGUUGACGACUGAAACUUGAAUGGAAAAACAUAUGCAGUUACUAAAAUUGAGAGAGAUGAUUAUAAGAUGGCUUUUACCUGGUGGUUCAACUGGAGCUUGAUACAUCGGGUUCCAUGGCACCUUUGCUGCUACGGGAACUACAAGGUUCCUAUCAUACCAUUGUUUUGGACAAUGGUUUAAGAAAGGGAGGCACCAGUGAUGGGGCCCCACUCAUGACAUCACAGCUGAGGGUAGUCGAGGCAUCUGGUCCUGGGUGUGGAGCCCUGCUUCUCCCCUCUCCAUCAAGACUGGCUCCAGCAGUGAGUCAGGGCCCUUAAUGAGGACCAGACUCCACACAUCAGGCUGAGGUCACUCUACGGGAAUCUCUGGAGGUUGGUCCGUGCGGAGGUUGCCAGUUAACCCUGUCAAAGCGGACUGAAGAUCCUGGACUGUCUGUGACAGGCGCUGAACUUCACCUUCCAGAAGAUGCACCUUAUCUGUCCCACCAUGCCUCAUCUCAUGGUGCCCUGUCUCUCUCCGCUCUGGCCCUAUGAUCAGAGAAUAAAGUUCCACAGACUUGGCAAGGAGCACUGAAGCUGUUCUGGAGGCUCGUGGUGGCCUGACUCCAUACUACGAUACUACAUGUUGGUUUUUCCUUUAAAUUGUCACCCAUCUGUAGCUUGACAAAUAGACAAAAGGAAACUGAAGACCAGUGGGACAACAUGGCUUAACAAUAUGGCUGUAAUAUGUGUAUGUGUGCUUAAAACUCACAAGAGAUAAUGUGAAGCCACUAUAUUAUGUCAUAACUUGGAAAUGGAAAAACCUGAGGUGUCCUUUCUCACUGCCAGUUUUUCUUGAUUUACGCAGAAACCUGGAAAUGUGCUCCUGUGACCUAAGAACGAUCCGUUUCCAGGGAUCUUUUCCACAACCUAUGUUUGUAUGCUCACGUCACUUGCUGCUGGCAGUCGGGCUGGUAGGCUGGGCAGGGGGCCACUACGGGCUCCUGGAAGCUCUCCACACUCCCCUGCACGGCGCAGCUCACGUUCUUGCGCACCACAUAGGCACACCAGUUCCUGAGGAGAGAGGCAGGAACAAACACGAGCUUCAAGAUACGCAUGUAUAUACCAAGAACUUGUAUGCAGACCCUUGGAACAAGUCAUAAGAGGAGGGAGACCCGUAAGUAAACUGAAAGUUCAAAAACAAUGUGAAAACUGUCCACCGCCAGUCCAUUUCUCCAUUCCUGUAAUUCAUACUUAACAAACG